rnacentral:rRNA from 1 species
UACGGGGGGGGCAAGCGUUGUUCGGAAUUACUGGGCGUAAAGGGCUCGUAGGCGGCCAACUAAGUCGGACGUGAAAUCCCCAGGCUCAACCUGGGAACUGCGUACGAUACUGGAUGGCUUGAAUCCGGGAGAGGGAUGCAGAAUUCCAGGUGUAGCGGUGAAAUGCGUAGAUAUCUGGAGGAAUACCGGUGGCGAAGGCGGCAUCCUGGACCGGCAUUGACGCUGAGGAGCGAAAGCCAGGGGAGCAAACGGG